AGAGUUUGAUCCUGGCUCAGGACGAACGCUGGAGGCGUGCUUAACACAUGCAAGUCGAACGAUGAAGUGGAGCUUGCUCCACGGAUUAGUGGCGAACGGGUGAGUAACACGUGAAUAACCUGCCCUCAAUUUCGGAAUAACCCAGGGAAACCUGGGCUAAUACCGGAUACGUAAACCUGUGGCAUCACAUGGUUUUGGAAAGUUUUUCGAUUGAGGAUGGAUUCGCGGCCUAUCAGCUUGUUGGUGAGGUAAUGGCUCACCAAGGCGACGACGGGUAGCCGGCCUGAGAGGGUGGACGGCCACACUGGGACUGAGACACGGCCCAGACUCCUACGGGAGGCAGCAGUGGGGAAUAUUGCGCAAUGGACGAAAGUCUGACGCAGCGACGCCUCGUGAGGGACGAAGGUCUUCGGAUUGUAAACCUCUUUCAGCAGGGACGAAGCGAAAGUGACGGUACCUGCAGAAGAAGCACCGGCUAACUAUGUGCCAGCAGCCGCGGUAAUACAUAGGGUGCAAGCGUUGUCCGGAUUUAUUGGGCGUAAAGAGUUCGUAGGCGGUUUUUCGCGUCGGAUGUGAAAACUCAGGGCUCAACCCUGAGCCUGCAUUCGAUACGGGAAGACUCGAGGACGGCAGGGGAGACUGGAACUUCUGGUGUAGCGGUGGAAUGCGCAGAUAUCANNNNGNACACCAAUGGCGAAGGCAGGUCUCUGGGCCGAUCCUGACGCUG
rnacentral:rRNA from 1 species